UAACUCCCUCCCCCUAGUCCCUGUCCAGUAUUUCCUUCUGGGAGGUGGGUUGGGUGAGGCUUUUGUUUCAACUGCCUGCGGAAUGUUGCCUGAUGGAACAGAGUAGAGAGGGCCUGUCUUUAAAAGCCCAGAUAGAGGAGCUCUGGCCCAUAAGGGUGCUUCCUGCCUGCUCGCCUGCAGGCUCCUGUCCUUCCUGUUGGCACCAUGCUCUGCAGAGCUCCAGUCCUCUGUGCUCUGUGUGUCCUGGCUGGGGCUUUGCCCUUGCCUGACCUAGAAUUCAUCGCUUACCUACCUGAAUUGGUCAGCAUUAUAAAUGAGGUCAAACUUGAUAUAGACACAACCAGGGGUGAAGAUUCAACAGCUGGUGUAUCACAGACACAUGGACCAGAGUCCACCGGAGACAUAUCAUGGGAGGACACACAGACUUUGAGUAAGUGAAGGCCUUGCCUCAGAGGAGGUCUGGACAGGCAUUGCUGCCCCCUGGCCCCCACCUCCUGCAUGCCUGAAUGAAACCCUGCUUUCCUCCAGUAUAUUGAAUUCCCACCAUUAACUGGUAGCCGCACCUAUAUU
rnacentral:lncRNA from 1 species